CUGCGGGCGGCGAGAAUAGUUUAGCUAAACGGCCCUAAACCGUUUCCCAUUCAUUCUCUAUGGUAGUGCUAAACCACUACGGAUGUAAUAUAUUUUUGGCCACUACGACUUUGUGGCGCUGUUCCGAGAUUUUAAAGACGCAAAGUUUCUAAAAUCUUUAUUACAUGGAUAAACUUCUGUGGACACAGGACGAGUCACCAGCUUCUCGCUUCGGUUAUUUACACUUACUGUUCAUCUAUCAAAGAGACAGAAUUCUUCCAGAAGGAACUGGAGGCCGCCAAGAAACAGAUGAAGCAGAAUAUGGAGACAAGGAGAAAAGGGCCAGACUCACGACAACCAAGGCCGCCUUUGCAGAUUCUGCUGCAUGAACCUGAAACAGGAACCAAACAGCCUGCACAUCUACACCGGAUGCCUUUAAUGUUCCAUGUUAUUUCAAUAAGACCUCUCUUUAUGAGUAUAGUCCAUGCUUUUAUAUUUGUGUAAAACAGUAAGAUACAUAAAAAAUGCUUUAUAUUUGUAUAGAGGUACUUUCAUCUUCAAGAUCUUCCUGUGUGAUAUAUUUUGUUUGUUAUAAAUGUGUCUGUUUUAUGUUGUAUUGAUGUGAUUAAGAUUGUUACACUGACCUUGAUGCAUGGCUGAAAAUCUGUCAUGUUCUACCUGCACUGUUAACAGGCACUCUAUGUAUCCAUAUUAUAUACAUACCAUCUUCUGGGACCCUGCCCCCCAUAGCUGACCCAGCCCUCUGCUCGGCAUUCCUGCUCUCACUCAGGCCAGCGUCACACACAUGCCACCUUUUUAUCAGGUUUUCUUGUUUUUAACGGGAAGUUUAUCCUUGUUAAUAAGUGAUUGCUUUUCAUCUUCAUUUAGUCAUUGUAAGCAGUUAUUUUUAAAUGCUGGCCUUAUGUUUUCUGUUUUAGUUCUAAAACACUUAUCUUUAAUUAGUAUUUACAGAAAUGUAAUAAAAUGAGACGUAAAAUUCUAUUGUAAAAUUUGAAAUGUUUGUAUAGAGGGGGCCUGACACACUACUUUCAUCCUCAGAACCUGACUGUUUGGUUACACUGAUGAUUUUUAUUUGGGUCUGUCUGUCAGACGUCAGUGUCAAAAGUCAUUUCAAUAAAUGCACCCAGGAUCCUCAUGUUUUGAAUAAUUUAUCCCAAAUUUUUAACAGUGUUGUCAUGUCUGCAAUGAUGACUGGAACCUUGGUGCAUGUCUUAAAUAUAGCCAUGUUUUGCUAGUAAAGUUUAUUUUUUUAUAGCAGAGCUUUUCCUGUUUCAUAACUGCUUGCUGGUGGUAUUUUAGGACUUGCUCUUGCUUUUCUGUGAAACUAUGUCAAACAUAAAAUUGAUAUUUAAUUGAAA